AUCAUGGUACUGAAAAGAAUGGAUGAAUAAAAGACCUUUACACAGAAAGCACAGUGACCAAAAUAUGAAAUCUCUCAACAAUGUAGAAAAUGUGACUUAUGUGCCUGGAAUAUAUCCAUUUGUGUAUAUGGAAAUCAAAAUAUGUUUCUACCUUGAUCAUGGAUUGUCUGGUUAAAUUUAGAAAUCAGUAGGUGAAGCUGGAAACUAUGGAAGAAGAAUUUGUAAUCCUCACUUGCCUUAUAAAAUGAACAUUGAGAAAAUUAACUCAAACAUUCUUAAGCACAAGAUUUCAACCUGUGAAAACGCCCCUGUGUCCCAGACAGGUAGGAGAGGCAGAGAUACUGCAGAGAGGCUGCACUGUCUCAUGCAAGAUCACAACUCCAAAUGGAAAAUAAAUGCACUGCAACCACCACAAUCUGAAGUAAAAGUCAACAUUUGGGAAAUAAAGCCUCCUGAUUUUAGUUACAAACUGUAUACAUCUUUGAGGCUUGCAGAAAAGCCAUCAAGGACCAUCAUGGAAGAAGAAAGAAGAAAAAUCCCUGAUUUUCCAGGAAAAAUGGUUCACCUUCCCAGCCUAAGGAAUCCUCCCAAGAAGGCCAUAUCUCCUAAAUUUAUAACUACAUUUCCACGUCUGGAUUCACAUAAAGCAAAGUUAAUGUUUGUGGAGAGUGGAAAAUAUCCAAAUGGUGUAUACCUCAAUCCAAAACCACAUGACUUUCGACAGGUACGAAAAAAGCAUUUGAUUCUAAAUAACUUAAAACAGGUAUAG
rnacentral:lncRNA from 1 species